GGGAGGAAUCUGGGUAGUAUUAGGGAAGGGGCAUUAUAUGGUUAAAAUACAAUAUCUAAAAUUCUCAAAGAAUAAAAAUAUUGUUUUAAAUGCAAGGUCAUCCACAGAGAGCUCCUUACUCCCAUCCCUGGGAAGCUGUAAGAGAUCUAACAGGGAAAUAAGCUCCUCGAGAACAGGCUUCUUGUAUGAAGACACAAUGCAGGAGACACCUGGUGAGGGCAGUUGUCCCACUCAAUGUAGUUUGGAGCAGACUCAUAGCCAGUGAAAGUUCAGUGCCUGAGGUGAGGUACUUUGAGGUCCUCAUAACUCAAGAUUAAUUUCCAUCCC
rnacentral:lncRNA from 14 species